CCAUCUUGCGGCUGCCUGAGGGCCGCGGUGCUGUGGGGAGCGGAGAACGAGGCCGGGGGGGGGUUCUCCCUCUUGAGGGAAAGGCACCAUCAGCCCCCAAAGCCCCUCCGAGCUGGCUCGGAGAGAUGUGCUCUGCGCGGGGCGGGGGGCGGCGGCAUCCUCUGAGGUGAGGGGCGAGCGGACUCGCCUGAGAGACUCCUCAAAACACCUCAGAUGUUGUGAGAAAUUGCAACCAGGAGUAACUGCAGUCCCUGUAUCCUCUUUUCAAGAUGAACCACGCUGUUGUGAUGAAGAACAGUUCUAAUGGAAACAGCAGCAUACAAAUGCACAUUUUCUACAUUUUUAAGAAGCUCCAGCUCUAAAUCUACUGAAGUGGAAGACUCAGCUCUGCACUAACACACACAGUCAAGACCUACAACAAAUAUCUACAGCCAUCCACAUGACAGCCACAGAACCCAGCAGAAAGACCACAGACUGUAUCUCAUCAACUCUAUGUUGAUCUGUGGGAGCUUUCCUUACUGGUGCCACCACUGUCUAUACUCAACAACUGUACAUUUCCCUGACAAUAUGAUACCAUGUUCAACUGUCCCAUUCUUCUGAGCUCCAUGUUAAUAAGCCUGCAUGUGACUGCAGACACAUCCCCACUGUUAAGGAGAGGUGCAUGGCACUGCCCCAGUGAGAACACUGCUAAGUGGCUAAAAGGAACAUCAUAGUAAGUGAAACUGGGUGUAUAAUAUGCCUUUUGGGAUAAAGAAAUUAAUUUGAGUCCCUUCUAUAUAGACUUUCCAUUACCAGGAAUAAAAUUUAAAAACUGUCUCUUUAACUGGGAAAAAUAUACCAUUUAAAUGAUAAGAAAAACUAUUAGUAUAUUCCUUCCUUAGUGUCCAUUCCUAUGAACUCUUUCUUCAACAAGCAUUUGCUUGCUAGACAAGUGAUGAAUAUUUCAGAUGUCCUUUCAAAAUAAACACAGAGAACCUAAUACAGUAUUUAUGGCACAGAAGAAUUUCCUUAAUGACUCCUCCUACAAUAACCAGAAAGGAGCACUGAAACACAAGUGUGGAAAGUGACAAAUAGUAAAUGAAAGCUACAGUAUGUUAGUAGGUAUCACUUUUAGUCUUAAUUUUUUUAUCUGUCCCAGCCUGUUUUCUAGAGGCAAGCAUUGUUUAUUUUCACCCUGUACAGAAGAAUUUGUAAAUAUGCUGGUCCUACGAAGCAGAAUUAGAAAGGGAAUUAGUCUGCCAAGUAAAGAAAUGUGCAUCUAUUAAGCUUUGGAAUAUCUGAGAAAUACUAACUCCAUGUAUUCUUGAAAGACAGUACUAGAAAUCCUCCUCUAAGAAAGUUUACAACACCAUUUGAAGCAAAACACAAAGAAAAAAAUUAUUAAAAUGUUGAAAGUGCCACUAGUCAUAUGCCGUCAGUCACUACCAAUCAUUAACAGGCUGAAGUUACAAUUCAAUAGACAGGACAGUACCACCUUACACAGCAGUCCCACCAACAGCAGAAGCCAGGUUAGAGUCUUUUACUAAAUCUUCUAAGUCUAAAAAUGCUCUUGUAAAGAAGUCUGCCAAUUAUGCAGCUUUUUUGGAGCUUACUGCAGCUGACAGAAGAUCACCAACCUCCCUCCUCCCCUUCAAAUAACAAAGCAAAACCCCACCAACCCCAACCUUGACAUUUCAUGAGAUGCCUUCAGGGGCAUCCAUGCUUACUUGGUGCAUGCAAGUGCAUAAAUUAAGAAAUACACUUCAGCACCACAAAACAAAGACAAGUACUAGAAAACACAAAAGAACAAUACCUAAAACUAAAGAGGAAAACACUGCAGAAUCAAAUCAGCAAAGGAAAAGUUAAAGCAGAAAUAAACACAAGUCCAACGACUAACACAUGAAAACAGACAAGCCUUUCCAGUUUGGAGCCAAGGAAAAAAAAAAACACAACACUUCAGAAGGCUUUUUGGAAUGACAGCAUCAUAUUACAUAGCAACCUGCCCUGCCAUCAAAUCAAAACCAGUAGUGAAACGCACUCAAGUAGAAGAAUCUGAAGACCUGCACUGAAACCCUACUGUAGGUGGACACCUCGUACGAUAUACCUGCCUGUCACCCAAGAUGAUGAUUUCCACACUCUGACAAGUGUCACACCAAUCACACGUUGCAAAGCUGAAGGACUCAUUUGCAAACAGUCCAUAUUUCUCACGCUACUAUCAGCUGAACCACACAAAACACUGAAUGAACAAACGCUGAAGUUUUAACUCCACCCAGGUGCUACGAGAGCAGCAGUAACCGAGCAACUAAACGCAUAUCCCUGACAUAAGGAAAAACGCUAAUUUUUGAUGGAUUAAUUUAUUUAAUUAAAGAAAAAAAGCACUUGCUAGUGUUGUACAAUUUCUGUUAGCAUACAGGAAGGUUUGCAGAGUUUGCACAAGUGCUUCCACAUGAGAAGACAGACACCCUUGAGGCUGGACAUACUCGCAAGUCAAAUAAGGUCAUUUGCUUCUUGCCUAAUCUUAACCUUGCUUUGUCUUACAAAAUUGUAACUCCUUUAAGCAAGUUUCUGUAAUACGUAACAGUGAAGACAAAACUACUGAGAGACUGGAAUGUUUUCAAGUAAAAUUACACUACAGCUAUUCCACUUUUAUCAAAUCCUUUACACCCGAGAACUUCUGAAAUUUUAAUGUACUGAAGCAAUACUAAACUAUCUGAUGUUACAUUUAGCUGGUACAAGAACACAGUCCUACAAAUAAGUUCAACAACUUUUUCUUCUCUCUUUUUUCCUCAGCUCCAUCUUACAUGUACCAUUCAUCUUACUUGCACCAUUCAUCCUCCAACAUGCUAGGCUGAAACAACAGAAUUAAUGACUUACUUCUAUUCUAAACAUUCUAAAGACUAACAGAAAGAUGCAGUAUCCAUGUGCUACCUGUUACUUUUUUUAUAAAAAAAACAACACUACCCAUGCAUGUAGUAAGUCUGUAUUUUGUUUUAAAAACUAAAACAUUUCCAACAGACACACCCAUCUUUUGUUAUCGUGAAAGAUAGCCAUCUUAAAAUUCUUGAAGAGAUGUGUUACCACGUGAAACUGAAGGCUGUUGUACAAAGUUUACACAAUUUUCAGUUUCACUUGAGGUAAAGUUUAUAAAGACAAAAGGAAAUCAAAGCUACAGGAAGAAGACACAAAUUCUCCACUUUUGUUAAUUUGUUCUGCAUUAUAACACUGGCUCCUCACAUGAAAUUUCAGAUGCCACAAGAUCUGCAUGCUAAAAACCCCACCAGCAUCCAACUGUUACCUCUGGGAGUAUGAAGCCAAGAACAGAGGAGAUUAAAGUGCAUCCUCAACGCGACGGAAAACAAACUUUUUGGUCUGCAGACUUGUGCAGAAAGAUUCAAAUAUGUAUACAACAUGCUGGAGAGAAGGGAGGGGGAAACAUGUUCUGUGCUCUCAAAAUCAGCUAAUCUCCUGAAUAGCUGGAAAGCGCCGCUUCCCAGAAAUUAACCCUUUGGCUUCCUGAUCUUUAUGCCAAGAAAACGCCGCUUAAACGGGGAGGGAAUAAAUAUUAAAGCGAUCAUCAGUUACCUUUAAAACUCUUUGCUUCCUCCUCUGAGGCCUUUUGUUUUCAGUUAGAACCUAAAAAAACAUCAAAUCGCAGAAUAAGUUGCGGUCACAAAGGCGAGACAACCUCCGAUUAUUUUUGAUUUUUUUUUUUUUUAUUAUUAUUAUUACCAAACUGCAACAUCUCUGCAGUGCCCAGGAUGCUGCUCACAGGCGGCACUCGGGCGGGCUGACGAGGCCCCCUCCACCGCCGCCGGAGAGGGGCCGAGGGGAGAGGCCCGGCCCCCCGCAGCCGGCCCCGCAGCUGCCGCCCCGCAUUCCUCACCGCGGCGCCCCCCGGGCGGCCAUCUUGCUUCCUGCCGCACUGCCGGGGGCGCGCCCGCACCCCGCCGCGGGAGCGCGCGCGGGCCGGCCCCAGCCAAUGGGGCGGCGGGAGGCGGGAGGCAGCGGGUGUCCCGUCCGGCCCCCCCGCACCGCCCCCCGCGCCCCAACCCGCGCCGGCCCUGCCCGAACAAAGGGUCUCCCGCGCGGCCGCCCGCAAGAGGCGGCGCCGGACUCGCCGCGCCGGCGGAUGCGGAGCCGGCGCGUGCACGGUGCGGGGCUGUGGGCCCCCGCGAGGCGCGGCCGCGUGCGGGGGUCAGGCGAGGACACGGCCCCCGCGCCCCCGCCGCCAUGCACGCGCAGAGGUGCGGGCGUGCGCGCCCCCGGGCGCAGGCGUGUGCGCGCGCAGGCGGGCACCGGGCCGCGAGGCGUGGGACGAUGCGCUGCGAGCAGGGACCCGGACCCCCGGGGGGGGGGGGGGGGUCUCUGCCCCCCCUCGCACCCCGGCUCUUCCCGGCAAGAGUGGAAAUCGCCGCUCAGCGGAGGCAGCUGCACCUCCCUCUGUGCACAGGCAAGGGCCUGCCUUCCCGGGCUGCCCAGAGGCAAGGGAACCGCAGCUCAGCAGCACCAGCCCCCUCCGAACACUCUGCCUGGGGCUGGGCACCCAGCACCCCCCGAGAGCCGAAGGUUCUCACAGACCCUGCCUGCCCUCACCUGCUGCCUGCAGCCCACACGGCCCCGCCGCAGGAUCAGGCUCCA